rnacentral:lncRNA from 1 species
UGGUUGCAUUCAGCUCGUUCCACUAUGCAUGAGGACGUUGUGGUGGUCAUUGUCAUCCACGAUCUUGCAGAUUCAGAAGGAAAUCAUGAGGAAAAAACAAGGUAUGAUACCCAAAGAUUGAUAUACAGAUUAUGCCUGUUUUAACGUACAGUAGUUCUUGCAGUAGGGUGUUCAAGGUGCUGUGACCAGGAAAAAGAAGAGAAGCGGUUCAGGUUGCCCAGAUGCGGCAGAAGAACCAAAUGGAUACAUGUCUGACAGGCAUCCAAGCUAUUGGCUUGAUUGGGAAAAAAAUGUUAAUUGUUAGCUGGUUCCUGAAACUUAGUUAUGUAUAGGUUAAUAUUCAGAAUGUGAACUGUCCCAUGUACUUGUUUUUUUUUAUCGUUUCAGUCUAUUGUAUCUAACCUUAAUGGAAGUGUCCUUUUGAUUCUCUAUAAUUUGGAAAAGUGGUAAUUUCAAA